rnacentral:rRNA from 1 species
UACGUAGGGGGCUAGCGUUGUCCGGAAUUACUGGGCGUAAAGCGCACGUAGGCGGAUUGUUUAGUCAGGGGUGAAAUCCCGAGGCUCAACCUCGGAACUGCCUUUGAUACUGGCAAUCUCGAGUCCGGAAGAGGUGAGUGGAAUUCCUAGUGUAGAGGUGAAAUUCGUAGAUAUUAGGAAGAACACCAGUGGCGAAGGCGGCUCACUGGUCCGGUACUGACGCUGAGGUGCGAAAGCGUGGGGAGCAAACAGG